AUGAACGCUGGCGGCGUGCCUAAUACAUGCAAGUCGAGCGAACGGACGAGAAGCUUGCUUCUCUGAUGUUAGCGGCGGACGGGUGAGUAACACGUGGAUAACCUACCUAUAAGACUGGGAUAACUUCGGGAAACCGGAGCUAAUACCGGAUAAUAUUUUGAACCGCAUGGUUCAAAAGUGAAAGACGGUCUUGCUGUCACUUAUAGAUGGAUCCGCGCUGCAUUAGCUAGUUGGUAAGGUAACGGCUUACCAAGGCAACGAUGCAUAGCCGACCUGAGAGGGUGAUCGGCCACACUGGAACUGAGACACGGUCCAGACUCCUACGGGAGGCAGCAGUAGGGAAUCUUCCGCAAUGGGCGAAAGCCUGACGGAGCAACGCCGCGUGAGUGAUGAAGGUCUUCGGAUCGUAAAACUCUGUUAUUAGGGAAGAAUAUAUGUGUAAGUAACUGUGCACAUCUUGACGGUACCUAAUCAGAAAGCCACGGCUAACUACGUG
rnacentral:rRNA from 1 species